CCUUAUUAUAAAGAAAAAAUGGAAAAUUGCCUUGAAACAUAAUACACUUCUCCGUCCUCCACCUCUCAUCUCUUUGUUUUUUCCAUCUUUCGUCCUCCAUCUUUCAUUCAUACAACAACUGCUUCAUCCUUGCAAGUUCUUUCAUACUCUAUUUUUGAGAUUAACUCAAUCCAACAACUUUGCAUCGUUCUUUCAUACUCUUCCAGAAUAUAAGGGCUUUGAUUUUCUAUUUUUCAAACCCUAAAUUAUGUAAGUUCAAUUAACUCGUAAUUCUUAUUUUACUAAUUUAAGCUUUUAGAAGUUUAAUUGCUUCACAAUUGUAAAUAGUUUUGGUUGUGUUGAUCGGAAGGGGGGAAAUUUCAUUGAAUGAGCACUUCUAAUUUCACGUUUCAUCGAAUUCGCGCUUCCAAUUUUGUGGUCUUAAUAUUGGUCUUGAUCGUGGUCUUGAUUGGGUUUUAUCGAAUUUGCAGGCUUCCAAAUUCAGGUUUCAGGAGAAAAUGGAAGGAUUUCCCGCAAAAGCUUUUGCAGAAUUGAUGGGUUUUCUCAAAAUAGAGCUAAGAACACCGUAUGUGUCUUUAGUAUGUGUGAAAAGCUAAUUGCGUUCCUUAAAAAGAUGGUUGCCAAAGUCAAAAGUUGAUGCCUUUUCUUUUAACAAAACAGAUAGAAGACUGGCAUUAACCAACCUUCAUAUUUUAUAUUCUGUUGAUUCCAUAUCAUAUAUAGGGAGUAGAGAAUUUCUUUUGAUUACUGUAGACACCAAUAGUACACAAUUAUGUACUAGUGAUUGAAGAACCCUAAUUCACCUACACAACGAUCAGACGGCAACACACCAUCUUCCAGCGAACAGUCGGCGAUGCACCACCACCUAGACAACACGACGUCGCCGCACCACCACCUAGACAACGGGGUAUAUGGGUAGACCAGGGUGGAAGCCUGGAAGGCCAAAACGAAAAGUGGCUUGACGAGAGUUUAACAAAGACAAAAUGAAAAGGAGAGGAGUGUGUUUCAUCAGAGAAACCAGCCACAGAGGAUGACAACAAUGGAAAAUCAACGUCUAUUCCCGAUUAAUAGAUUGAUUUUGGCUUUGAUCCUCUAUGAAUCUGUUAAUCGAUUGUGCAUUUCAAAUAAGCGUAAGAGAGGAAUUGACUCUGCAAACUGUGAAGAUUAAGAUGGGCGAUACCGGUGAUGGACGAGGAACGAAGUGAGUGCCAGUUGAGCCACCGCCCUAAAUCCUACCAUGACUUCUUGGAUGAAACGCCACAAACAAAAGAUUGAAAGGAAGGCUUCAUAUACUUAUCUCCUAAGAAAAAAAUUUGUUCUUCUCACUCCUGUCACUGUUUUUAGUGUAAAUAUGUAUAAUUUAAUUGCCAAGGCUAUCAUAGAAAGAAGAAGACAUUGUUAAGUUGGAAUCAAGCCAUAAGAAAAAAGCAGAGUUCUGGAGAAGCAUAAGGUAUAACCUUUUACUAGAUUACAAAAUAAAAUGCAACAUUAUUAUAAGAUAGAUUAUAAUAAUUUUUCCCCCAAAAUUAAAUUUUUGCAACAUACUGUAGGUAAUAUUUUCGCCUAUAUUAUUUAGAUAUGUAACAUGGAGAAGCUAUGUUGUUAUUUAUUUAUAAAACAGAUUAUGUGUACCUUGAACAGACUCUUUUAAACAUAUAACAUUAUAGGAUUCACUGUCUCUAAUUCAUGCUUCCGGGGAUUGCCUUUUCUGUGUUGUAUAUAUGCUUAAUUGGGUCAUGGAAUGAGCAGCGGAACGAGGAUGCAUGCAUUGGGUGAACAAGCACAUUUAUUUUGCUUGGGUUUAUGCCAUGGCAUAAUUUUAGAGUACAUUGCUUCAAAAAGACUUUGAAUCUAUGGUUGAGAAUAAAGUGGAUCAAGAUGAAAGAUUGGUUGUGCUGUUGUUUAAAGCUUCUAUUUUGGGAGGUGUUGUUGUUGCUUGAUCGAGGUGCUGCUGGUGCUUGGAGCCUCAGCUUGGAGGUUAUGUACGUCUGCUUGGAGCUGUUUUGGAAUUUAGUGGUCUAAAGACCGAAGUUGAUUGAAGUUGGCUUUCUUUUUGUUUUGAUUGUUAGAUUGCUUAGCCAAACAAAAGUUGGUGUUUGUGAAUGUUUUCUGUAAGAAAUUAUGAAAUUAUAUCAAAUGUAAUUUUUGUCUAUCGUA